rnacentral:rRNA from 1 species
GGAGGGUGCGAGCGUUGUCCGGAAUCACUGGGCGUAAAGGGCGCGUAGGUGGCCGAGCAAGGUCGCGGUGAAAGCCCGGGGCACAACCCCGGGUCGGCCGUGGCAACUACUUGGCUAGAGCACUGUAGGGGCGGGUGGAAUUCCGGGUGUAGCGGUGGAAUGCGUAGAGAUCCGGAAGAACACCGGUGGCGAAGGCGGCCCGCUGGGCAGGAAGAGGGCGCAAGCUCUCGGCUGACACUGAGGCGCGACAGCGUGGGGAGCAAACAGGAUUAGAUACCCUGGUAGUCCACGCCGUAAACGAUGGGCACUAGAUGCUUGGGGGAGCGACCCUCCGAGUGUCGGCGCUAACGCAUUAAGUGCCCCGCCUGGGGAGUACGGCCGCAAGGCUG